UCUUUGGCAGCCCAGAAUCCCGCAGGGAUCCCGGCCUUUUCCAUGGGCUAAUCAGGCCCGUGCCAGCCUCCCCCGGGCCAAAAUUAUGCACCAUUUGGCAGCCCACGAAGUCGAGGAAUGCGGCCCGCUUCCCUGUAUUUUACUCGGGGAACAAAUCCACGACCCUUUUGUCCGGGAGAGUUUCCCCGUGCACUCGCGAGCCGCCCGACUCCUUCCUCUCGCAACGCCGCCGCCGCUCGCCCAGGCUCCACCGCGGCUUGCCCAGGCUCCGCCGCGGCUCGCCCAAGCUCCGCCGCCGGUCUCCAUCCGGGAGAGCUUCACGUCGAGUCGCAUCCACCCCAUCAUCCCUUCAACGACGCCCCGACAUCCCAUUUCCUCCUUCCGUCCGUUCUCCGCCGGCGACCUCCCUCCCUCCCUCCUUCCGUCCGUUCCGUCUCGGGUGAGUAGUCUACACGCACCGCACCGGAUCCAUUUCCGGCCGGAUCCGCCAUCCAUUUUGGUUGGUCCCGCGCCAGUCAAUCGGCGGAUGCGAUUUGAAUCUCAUCAUGGCCGGAUCUACGCCACCUUGCCGCUGCUUUGUUUGUCUUCCCCGACGGCAGCUCAGACCCUCCUUACCUGACCCUCUCCUUUCUCCUUUUCAGUCAGGCCUUCCUCUGUAUCACCAGUGAAGCAAAGGAUUGGAGGCUACUCCAUCCAGGGCAGCAAGUUUCUACAGAGGCUACGACUUCAGCUUCACCUUCCUGUUCCUGUUCACCUCCAUCCUUGUGCUCCUAGUGUACAUCACCAUCUAGUGCUCUUUGUGGAGGAAGUGUUGUAUGAUUUGAGAAGAAAAAUGUUUUGCUAGCUGUAGUGCCUAUGUGAGAAGCUCAUGGAAAGGAGUUUUUUUUUUCUCAAACACUACCCAUGAAAAAGAGUUAAACCAUAUAUUUUUUAAUUAUGUCUUAGAUAUCUAGAUGGUGACCAUCUGUGAUUUGGUGAAGAAUGGAUUGACUGAGUUAAGUUUGCCACUUGGAACUAAUUUUAUAUGUAUUGGACUACGUCAAAUAAUUAGUAUUGUGAUUUUCCAUGCAUUAUGCUCAUGAAAAGUGCUCGGCAUUGAUAUGAGACAGUUCACGUUUUCCUUGCUCAGGGCAAUCUAUUGCCAAACAACGUCAGGGAAAACUCCGCACCUGUGGAAGUCUG